rnacentral:lncRNA from 1 species
UUUCUUCCUCAAGAAAUGUCAACUCAAAAUCAGGGAAGUGCUUAUAGCCAAACAACACAGCCAGGUAUCUAUGGUCAACAGGCACAAUCAAGUGCUAAUAUGUACAGCCAACCGACACAGCCAAGUGCUAAUCCAUACGGCCAACCUGCACAGCCUGGUGCUAACGCAUAUGACCAAGUUGGACAACCUAGUUCUAAUGCAUAUAGCCAAUCUGUGCAGCCGAGUGUUAACCUUUAUAGCCAACCGCCACAGCUGGGUGCUAAUCCCUACAGCCAACCUGCACAGUUUAACUCUGGGAACCUCUCACGGCAGGGUUCUCUUGUUCCAGUUUCUUCACAGGGUGCUCACCAGAUCACAAAUUCACCCGCUGUACAAAAUAAUAAUGAUUUCCUAAGUGGCUUAAUUUCAGAACCAGGGUCAAAGCCAGCACAGACAGUCACUCCCACAUCAACAGGAGCACUUGCUAUAGUUCCACAACCCUCAAAGGAUAAAUUUGAGCUUAAGUCGGCGGUUUGGGCUGAUACAUUAAGCAGAGGAUUGGUGAAUUUGAACAUAUCUGGACGUAAGUAAACAUUCUUCUUCUCUAAAAAUUGUCAUCAAGUAUGUCCUUUCUGCAUGAUCUAACUUUAUUGUUUUCGGUAUGCAGCUAAAACAAAUCCGUUGGCUGAUAUUGGAGUCGACUUCGAUGCUCUUAAUCGGAAGGAAAAAAGGAUGGAAAAACCUGCCCCAAAUGCAGUGACAUCUACAGUUACAAUGGGUAAAGCAAUGGGAUCUGGGUCUGGGAUUGGUCGUUCUGGUGCUACCACUCUUAGACCUCCCGCAAAUCCUAUGAUGGGUUCUAGUAUGGGUAGCAUGGGCAUGGGCAUGGGCAUGGGAAUGGGUGGUGGACCUGUUGGAGGCAUGGGAAUGGGAGGAGGCUAUGGUGGUAUGAAUCAACAACCAAUGGGCAUGGGGAUGGGGAUGGGGAUGAACAACAUGGGCAUGAAUCCAGGCAUGGGGAUGAAUAUGGGAAUGGGACAAAGACCCCAAAUGCAAGGAAUGCCUGGCGGUUAUAACCCUAUGAUGGGAUCUGGAGGCUAUUCUCAACAGCCAUACGGUGGUGGUUAUCGAUGAGAAUGGAUUCCCAUCCCAAAGAAGAGGAGUAAGGAAAUUACAUACAAGGCUGUGAUAUAAGGGUAAAAAUGAGAUGGGAAAAUAGCUAAAACAUUAGAUGUGGGGAAUGGAAUCCCAAAGUAGAAGCAGUAGAGUCGCACAUUUGUGUUGGCAGAUCGGAACCAUGUUUUUUAUUCAUAUAAUUGUCAUUCUUGGUUAAGCUAUUGCAGUGUUUGGGCCAUAAUCACUCCUCCCAUUGAUUACUGGUUUGAGCUGUUGUGAAAUUGUGUGGAUGAUGAUGACCUUUCUCGGCUUUGCAUUUUUUGUCUUAAUAUUCUUCCCUAUAAUAUAUAUAUUUUUUAUGGUAAAAAAAAUAAACUAAUCCUUCAAUUUUAUUGGAAACUGUAGUAAUUUCACUUUAUCUGUUACAGAAGCAGCAAUAGCUAGAUUGACGAAGCCUGUUGAAUAUUUUCUUUUCAAAAUUAUUUGCUAAGGUAUGAUGAAGCUUCAUUUCUGUAAUUAAGGUCCAAUAUCUUAUUUUAUUAAUUUUUUUAAUCAAUUUCUGCAAUAAAAUUUUAAUAUGCAAUCCAUUAGAAAUAUGUUUGUGUUUUUUUGAAAGAGACAAGUCCCUGUUACUUGAAAUAUUCGUGUUCUUUAUCAAAUACAUAGAGCUGAAGCAUCCACAACAAAUACAUAAUCAAAUGCUAAACCUAAUUUGAAUGUGCAGCAAAAGAGAGAGAAUUUUAGAUAAAGUUGUAUUUUCAAGUAAAUUUAUAUAAAGAAACAAAGAAAAGCAUUCAAAAAAAAAUAAAAAGUCUAAAAUCAACCAUCAAACAUCACAAGUUUCAGCUUCACAUUAUUACAUGACUUCUAUUUAAAACUUAAAUGGUCAGAAAAAUUAAAGUACAAUGACAACAACUAACAUCCCAAGUAACAAGAUAAAGAUCAGAUCCUGUUUUUCAGUCUAAGAGUUUUCUUGUGUUGGAACUAAGAACAAAGAUGAAUGAAAAAUAACAGAAGCUUGAGCUUGAAGGCUCGAUGGCUUGCUGAGCAAACAAAACAGAAUCGGGCUUGAAAGACAAGAGAAAACAAGAAAAGAGAGUUUUUUAUGAUGAAUCUUUGAUGAAUUUUUCAUUAACUUGAAAGAUGGCAUAUUGCCAAUACAUAUACCAGACAUAAGCUGGUCAAGAUGAAACAAAGUUACCUAAACAUCUACCUAACUCCACUGAGUAGCAUUGUAACUUGUUAAACAAAACUUGCACACUUGGUAAAGCUGAUUUAUCAGCUCAAACAUCAACAAAUUACAUCAAGUACAUUAACAAACUAGUUCUAAUCUAACUAAGUUACUAUCAUUUGAAACUAACAAAAUGAACAGCAGCAUGAACUUCAGCUGCAACUGCUUGGCUCGGGCAACUUCUCUGCUUCUUGUCUGCAUGCAGGCCAGCUUCAACAGUUUCAUUUUUUCUUCUAAAGUUGUAUAUUUGAAAAGCGUCUAAAACAAAAUUGAUAGUUAAAAAGGAAUGAAUUAUUGAAAUCCUGUGUACAAUAGAAAGGGUAGCAUAAAGGUAUUAGGGUGAAUUUGUUGCCAUACUAAAAUUUUUAGGGGAUAUUGUUCCUGAUUCAGGAUUUUGAUGAUCCAUUUGGCGAUAAUCCUUUUAAAGCUGUCCCUUCAACUGACUCUGCUCCAGCUGUACAACAAAUUUCCACUUCCAUGCCUACUUUCCAGCCUGCUACAAACCAAAAUGAAGUAGCUCCUCAGCCACCUUCUGCAAGUUCCAAGACAGUCACAAAUUUUGACUUUGGGAACUCAUUCUCUGCAAAUGCUUAUUCUGCACCCAAUGGCGCAAACUCCCAGUUUCUUCCUCAAGAAAUGUCAACUCAAAAUCGGGGAACUGCUUAUAGCCAAACAAUACAGCCAGGUAUCUAUGGUCAACAGGCACAAUCAAGUGCUAAUAUGUACAGCCAACCGACACAGCCAAGUGCUAAUCCAUAUGGCCAACCUGCACAGCCUGGUGCUAACGCAUAUGACCAAGUUGGACAACCUAGUUCUAAUGCAUAUAGCCAAUCUGUGCAGCCGAGUGUUAAUCCUUAUAGCCAACCGCCACAGCCAGGUGCUAAUCCCUACAGCCAACCUGCACGGUUUAACUCUGGGAACCUAUCACGGCAGGGUUCUCUUGUUCCAGUUUCUUCACAGGGUGCUCACCAGAUCACAAAUUCACCCGCUGUACAAAAUAAUAAUGAUUUCCUAAGUGGCUUAAUUUCAGAACCAGGGUCAAAGCCAGCACAGACG